rnacentral:rRNA from 1 species
UACGUAGGGACCAAGCGUUGUUCGGAUUUACUGGGCGUAAAGGGCGCGUAGGCGGCGCGGUAAGUCACUUGUGAAAUCUCUGAGCUUAACUCAGAACGGCCAAGUGAUACUGCAGUGCUAGAGUGUGGAAGGGGCAAUCGGAAUUCUUGGUGUAGCGGUGAAAUGCGUAGAUAUCGGGAGGAACACCAGUGGCGAAGGCGACUACCUGGCCUGUUCUUGACGCUGAGGCGCGAAAGCUAGGGGAGCAAACGGG